AACGAACGCUGGCGGCAUGCCUAACACAUGCAAGUCGAACGAGACCUUCGGGUCUAGUGGCGCACGGGUGCGUAACGCGUGGGAACCUGCCCUUAGGUUCGGAAUAACUCCCCGAAAGGGGUGCUAAUACCGGAUAAUGUCUUCGGACCAAAGAUUUAUCGCCUUUGGAUGGGCCCGCGUUGGAUUAGCUAGUUGGUAGGGUAAAAGCCUACCAAGGCGACGAUCCAUAGCUGGUCUGAGAGGAUGAUCAGCCACACUGGGACUGAGACACGGCCCAGACUCCUACGGGAGGGAGCAGUGGGGAAUAGUGGACAAUGGGCGAAAGCCUGAUCCAGCAAUGCCGCGUGAGUGAUGAAGGCCUUAGGGUUGUAAAGCUCUUUUACCCGGGAUGAUAAUGACAGUACCGGGAGAAUAAGCUCCGGCUAACUCCGUG
rnacentral:rRNA from 1 species